rnacentral:rRNA from 1 species
UACGUAGGGGGCGAGCGUUGUCCGGAAUCAUUGGGCGUAAAGAGCUCGUAGGCGGUUCAGUAAGUCAGGUGUGAAAGCUCCGAGCUCAACUCGGAGAGGCCACCUGAUACUGCUGUGACUAGAAUCCAGUAGGGGAGUGUGGAACUCCUGGUGUAGCGGUGAAAUGACGCAGAUAUCAGGAAGAACACCAGCGGCGAAGGCGGCACUCUGGGCUGGAAUUGACGCUGAGGAGCGAAAGUGUGGGUAGCAAACAGG